rnacentral:rRNA from 1 species
GAUGAACGCUGGCGGCGUGCCUAAUACAUGCAAGUCGAGCGAACAGACGAGGAGCUUGCUCCUCUGACGUUAGCGGCGGACGGGUGAGUAACACGUGGAUAACCUACCUAUAAGACUGGGAUAACUUCGGGAAACCGGAGCUAAUACCGGAUAAUAUAUUGAACCGCAUGGUUCAAUAGUGAAAUACGGUUUUGCUGUCACUUAUAGAUGGAUCCGCGCCGCAUUAGCUAGUUGGUAAGGUAACGGCUUACCAAGGCGACGAUGCGUAGCCGACCUGAGAGGGUGAUCGGCCACCCUGGAACGGAGACACGGUCCAGACUACUAAGGGAGGCCGCAGUAGGGAAUCUUCCGCAAUGGGCGAAAGCCUGACGGAGCAACGCCGAGUGAGUGAUGAAGGUCUUCGGAUCGUAAAACUCUGUUAUUAGGGAAGAACAAAUGUGUAAGUAACUAUGCACGUCUUGACGGUACCUAAUCAGAAAGCCACGGCUAACUACGUG